GUGGACUUGUUUCUUCAAGUAUAUGAGAGAGAGGUCCAGUGGUUGGUGAUUUCGUAGCAGAAGCCUAAGGGGUUUGAGACAGAUGUAGGUCUGAGUGAGCGUGGCGAAUAGGCGAAAUAUGAGUUAAUGGGGGGCAUGGACGGGUAAAACGAGUGGCAAAAGGACCGUGAAGGCUGUCUGAGGCCUUACAUGGGAACUGCAGUAAUGUACUGAAGAUUGAAGAAAACUAUACCUGGAUAUAAGGUACAAAAUAGCAAGGUUUUCCUCCGAAUUUAGACGAGGCAAGCUGUUGAUGCUAUCGUAGUAGAACCUAAGGGUUUGAGACAGAUGUAAAUCUGAGUGGGCGUAACGUAUGAGCGCAGAGUUAGUUGACAAAUGUAAAUUGUUGGCUGCCUGAGUUUCCUCAAAC